rfam:Triticum aestivum genome assembly, contig: Triticum_aestivum_CS42_TGACv1_scaffold_130511_2BL
AUAAUACUCCCUCCGUCCGGAAUUACUUGUCAUCAAAAUGGAUGUGUCUAGAACUAAAAUACAUCUAGAUACAUCCAUUUCAAUGACAAGUAUUUUCGGACGGAGGGAGUAGUAG